GUUUAAAAAUUACCGAAACUUUGAAUAGAAGAUAAUUAUUUGAAAGUAUGGUAGCUUAAUAUAUUAAUCUAGCAUAAGAAUUAUGGUAGCAAAACGUUUAGUAGUGAAAAAUUCUAUUGAAAAAGGGUAUCUAAAGUGAUAAUGUGAACAUGAGUAAAAAACAAUGUGAGAAUCAUUGCUCACAGCCUAAGGUUUCCAAUAAAAAGAUGUUCUGAAUUGGGUUAUACAGUUUUUAAGGGGAUACUGAUAAAAAAGAAAUAAAAAGUGGAAGAGAUUAUUGAGUUAAACGUUGGACUGUUCGUCCAUUAAAAUCAUAUAGGUUUUAUACUUAAAACUGUACUAAAUCUAACACGAGUGGGCAAAAGUGAUGGUAUAAUUUAUCUUAAGGAACUCGGCAAAAUGGCCUUGUAAGUUCGCAAGAAAAGGUGCUAAUUAUUUAAUCAAAAAAUUGGUAAGUAAUUAGUCUCAGUAAAGAGGGGGUGUCGACUGUUUACCAAAAACAUAGCUUUCAGCAAAAAACCUUUGGUUUGAAGUAUUGAAGGUGAGGCCUGCCCAGUGGUUGUAUCUCAACCCAAAUGAUAGAAGAAGUUGUUUGGUUAAGGGCAAUUUAACGGCCGCGGUAAAUCUGACCGUGAUAAUGUAGCGCAAUCAAUAGCCAAUUAAUUGUUGGCAAGUAUGAAUGGCUUAACGAAUGCCCCACUGUCUCAAGAUAAAAACCAAUGAAAUUGAAGUUGUAGUGAAGAUGCUACAUAUAAAUUAUAAGACGAGAAGACCCCAUUGAGCUUUACUGGGGGCUUAUAUAGUCUUUUUCCAAUUAAUAUUUAGAUUAUGUGGGUAUUAUUAACCAAUUAAAAAGGGUAGAAAUGUGGAAGACCACUUGUUAAUAGGGGGGGAAGACUAAUUAAAAAGAAGAGUAUAAGUUGGACAGUUUAGUUGGGGCGACUGCCUUCUAAAUAGUAACGAAGGCGGGCAUAAGGUAAAUAAUCUAAUAAAAUAAAGUAAAAAGCCUGACAGCAAGAAGGACUUUCAAGCUGACACAAAUAAAGGGUUUUAUAUUGUGGGCUGUAAUGACCCGUUAGUGAAUAGUGGAAUUGCUAACGAUUAACGAAUAAAAGUUACCAUGGGGAUAACAGCGUAAUAUUGUUUGAGAGUUCUUAUCGACGACAAUGUUUGCGACCUCGAUGUUGAAUUGUGAUAUCCUGGAGGUGUAGCCGUUUCCAAGGGUUGGACUGUUCGUCCAUUAAAAUCAUACAUGAUUUGAGUUCAGACCGGUGUGAGCCAGGUCGGUUUCUAUCUAUAAUUUAUUUAAGAAACAUAAGAUAAAACUAUAUUCUAGUACGAAAGGAUCGAGUGAUAGUUAUCCGCUGGUGUACCAAUUACUGGUUUAAUUAUAAAUAAACAAAUAGUU
rnacentral:rRNA from 1 species